GGGGGCGUCACGGUUUCGACGUGGAUAGUGAAACCAGAGUUGCGUGCCGAGGGUUUUCGGGUCCUCGUAAAUCCUCCGAAAAAACCACAAACGCCAACGAUAACCUGGCGCUGGCUGCGUAAGGGUCAAACCUUAGCCGCAGUCCGUUUCCUGAGGAGCCCGCCUAAGGCGACUCUUGAGACGACGAAAAGUUAGGCUGGCUGCCCGGUGAUGCCGUCGCAUCGGGGGCGAGAACUCAAUGACGGAUAGCCCGGGUAGGCUGUUCCCUUGCCGGACCCGGUUGCGAACAUGAAAGGGCUCUACGCACGUAGAGACUCUGUCGGAUCAAUUCGCGGACGCGGGUUCGACUCCCGCCGCCUCCACUU
rnacentral:tmRNA from 1 species